rnacentral:rRNA from 1 species
GUGGGGAAUAUUCCGCAAUGGACGAAAGUCUGACGGAGCAACGCCGCGUGAGUGAUGAAGGUUUUCGGACUGUAAAGCUCUGUUGUUUAGGACGAAAGUGCCUGUUGCAAAUAGUUACAGGUAUUGACGGUACUGAACGAGGAAGCCACGGCUAACUACGUGCCAGCAGCCGCGGUAAUACGUAGGUGGCAAGCGUUGUCCGGAAUUAUUUGGCGUAAAGAGCAUGUAGGCGGGAAUCUAAGUCUGUUGUGAAAAUGCGGGGCUCAACCCCGUAUUGCGAUGGAAACUGGGUUUCUUGAGUGCAGGAGAGGAAAGGGGAAUUCCCAGUGUAGCGGUGAAAUGCGUAGAUAUUGGGAGGAACACCAGUGGCGAAGGCGGCUUCCUGGCACAAUACUGACGCUCAUGUGCGAAAGCUAGGGCAGCGAACGGGAUUAGAUACCCGAGUAGUCC